GCGGGAGUAACUCAGUGGUAGAGUGCCACCUUGCCAAGGUGGACGUCGCGGGUUCGAAUCCCGUCUCCCGCUCCA
rnacentral:tRNA from 1 species